UACGUAGGCAGCAAGCGUUGUUCGGAAUUACUGGGCGUAAAGAGUGUGUAGGCGGUGCUCUAAGUUCGGUGUGAAAUCUCCCGGCUCAACUGGGAGGGUGCGCCGAAAACUGGAGUGCUGGAGCGCGGGAGAGGAAAGCGGAAUUCCUGGUGUAGCGGUGAAAUGCGUAGAUAUCAGGAGGAACACCGGUGGCGAAGGCGGGUCUCUGGGCAAUAACUGACGCUGAGGAGCGAAAGCGUGGGGAGCGAACAGG
rnacentral:rRNA from 1 species